AAAUAAUGAUUACUUUCGGUUGGGGCGACCUUGGAAUAAAAAAGAACUUCCAACAUAUGACCUGCUCAUAAAAUAAGGCAAACAAGCCAAUACUAGACCCAGCACAGCUGAUAAUUGAAAUAAGUUACUCCAGGGAUAACAGCGCUAUCUUCUUUAAGAGCCCAUAUCAAAAAGAAGGUUUACGACCUCGAUGUUGGAUCAGGACAUCCCAGUAAUGCAUCCGUUACUAAAGGUUCGUUUGUUCAACGAUUAACAGUCCUACGUGAUCU
rnacentral:rRNA from 1 species